rnacentral:lncRNA from 1 species
AAUCAAACAAAACAGCACCACCGUCUGGUUGUAGCAGGUAUUACACAACGGAAAUCGGUUUGUUGUCUUCCUGUUUCUAGAUGUGUGUCGCGGUAUGAAGUUGAUCGCAUGCUAUUGCACGGUCUAUGGACAGUAACGGUUUAUCUACAUUGUGUCAUGUCAUGAUUAUUUAUGCCCGCGGUAAAUCACGGAUCGCUACAUCGACGUGGUGUUACAUUGUUACUAAAAUAACCGGACUUGCACGUGGUUGGUGCUACAUUUCAAAGGCAACCAACUCACGAGGUGACGUUACUGUCCAGUAGUGCAACAACUUGAAAUGAUUGUCUGACAUUCGCUCAGAUAUUGAGUGAAAGGAUGCUGAGAACACUUUUAACAGCUGUCCGCGGUCCUGCGGUCUGCGUGGGUCGGUGUUUCAGCAGUGAAGUGAGUGGUGCAGAUUCCACGUUACCCGGUUUCUCCUCUCCACCGUUCUCAACGGAGGCUUCACUCUAUGUUCACUGGCCUUACUGUCUGAAGAGAUGCUCCUACUGUAACUUCAACAAGUACAUCCCUGACACUAACCCUGAUCCUCUCCUGUUCACAGUGGCCUUACUGUCUGAAGAGAUGCUCCUACUGUAACUUCAACAAGUACAUCCCUGACACUAACCCUGAUCCUCUCCUGUUCACAGUGGCCUUACUGUCUGAAGAGAUGCUCCUACUGUAACAACAAGUACAUCCCUGACACUAACCCUGACCCUCUCCUGUUCACAGUGGCCUUACUGUCUGAAGAGAUGCUCCUACUGUAACUUCAACAAGUACAUCCCUGACACUAACCCUGACCCUCUCCUGUUCACAGUGGCCUUACUGUCUGAAGAGAUGCUCCUACUGUAACUUCAACAAGUACAUCCCUGACACUAACCCUGACCCUCUCCUGUUCACAGUGGCCUUCCUGUCUGAAGAGAUGCUCCUACUGUAACUUCAACAAGUACAUCCCUGACACUAACCCUGACCCUCUCCUGUUCACAGUGGCCUUACUGUCUGAAGAGAUGCUCCUACUGUAACUUCAACAAGUACAUCCCUGACACUAACCCUGAUCCUCUCCUGUUCACAGUGGCCUUACUGUCUGAAGAGAUGCUCCUACUGUAACUUCAACAAGUACAUCCCUGACACUAACCCUGACCCUCUCCUGUUCACAGUGGCCUUCCUGUCUGAAGAGAUGCUCCUACUGUAACUCCAACAUGACAUCCCUGACACUAACCCUGAUCCUCUCCUGUUCACAGUGGCCUUACUGUCUGAAGAGAUGCUCCUACUGUAACUCCAACAUGACAUCCCUGACACUAACCCUGACCCUCUCCUGUUCACAGUGGCCUUACUGUCUGAAGAGAUGCUCCUACUGUAACUUCAACAAGUACAUCCCUGACACUAACCCUGACCCUCUCCUGUUCACAGUGGCCUUACUGUCUGAAGAGAUGCUCCUACUGUAACUUCAACAAGUACAUCCCUGACACUAACCCUGACCCUCUCCUGUUCACAGUGGCCUUCCUGUCUGAAGAGAUGCUCCUACUGUAACUUCAACAAGUACAUCCCUGACACUAACCCUGACCCUCUCCUGUUCACAGUGGCCUUACUGUCUGAAGAGAUGCUCCUACUGUAACUUCAACAAGUACAUCCCUGACACUAACCCUGACCCUCUCCUGUUCACAGUGGCCUUACUGUCUGAAGAGAUGCUCCUACUGUAACUUCAACAAGUACAUCCCUGACACUAACCC